ensembl:lncRNA
GCUUAGCAAAGCAAGUGAAAGAUCUGGGUGCCAGGGGGUGAUUGAGGUUUCUUAUAUUGCCCUUGAUGAGAAUAUCAAUGUCAGUUGAGGCUCACACCUCAAGGACUGAUAGGGUUGUGCUUCUUUUCACUGCCUAUCCUAUUGGCCAACAGAAGUACCAUAUUGCUGUAAUUGUUUUGUUUUGUUGAGCAUUUCAGGAAGGCAGAUAAUGGAGUUUCAGCAGUUAACUGUAUCUAUCCCAGAAUUCUCUGAGGCAGACCCCUGGGUUUUGAUUCCAUGUGAAGGAAAGAGAGACAUCGAUGAGAAGAUACAGAUUCAGUGUUUAUCCCAAGCUUUGCCCACACUUAGCCCCAUCAUGAAAGGACAAUUAGCCCUGAGCUAACACCAUGCCCAUUUUCCUCUACUUUAUAUGUGGGACACCUGCCACAGCAUGGCUGGAUAAGCGGUGCAUGGGUCUGAUCCAAACCAGAGAACCCCAGGCCGCUGAAGUGGAACACCCAAACUUAACCACUACACCACCAGGCCGGCCCGGAGAAGAUGUUUUUUAACCUAACCCAUGGAUAAAGAAAGUCCAAAUAAGUUUAGGAAACAAAGAAAUGAAGGCUGCACUGAAGAAAGUCCUGAGGAUAAAAUGAACAUAGACAAAUCUACAAGACACCAAGUAAAUCAUUGUCCAGACGUAAAAGAAUAAGCAAGAAAAACUUGAUUCACUCCUGCUAAUUCUCCAAUGCACGCUUUAAAGAAGAUACUUUUCAGUGGGAUCCCUCAAUGUUUUAUUCUUCAACUAACCUGGGCAGAGUUACUAUGUAGCUGAUACAUAUUACAUUCCAAGUGUAACAACAAUAUUUUCAAAAUGGACAACUCCAGUAGAUAGUGAUAUGAGGGCAUUAUAUCUGUGCUAUUUCAUACUGUUUCAGUUUUCAUUAUUGGGGAUGGGUGUGGAAUGUAGAACAAGACGAAUUAUCCCAGGUGAAUCAUUGUUGGUAUACUCAAGGCAUUGGCAUGUCUUUAGACAGUUCAAUAUUUUUAAAAGUGAAUAAGGAAUCUAACUAAAGUGCCUAAUGGAUGCGGAUUUAGCAGCAACUUUCUUAUCCCCUUGGCUCUUCAUGUUUGAGAAUCUUCCAGAUUAGGGAUAGACUGACAGUUUCAUGCUUAUAUAAGUGAUACAUGUCUUAACAUCAGAUAAAACAGUAGUAAUUCUUUCAACAAAGAUUUACUGAGCAUUUACUAUGUUCCGGGCACUCUUCUAUGUAAUAGAGAUAUACUAUGACCAAAAUGGUCAAAACCCACUAUCCAUGUGGAGUUUACUUUUUAGUGGAGAAUAGACAGUAAAAAAAUAAAUAGAUAAAACACAUAGUAUACCAGAGAGUGAUAAGCACUGUGGAGAAAAGGGAAUAAGGGCAGGAAGGGUGGGAGAAAGGGCAGAAAUUUUAAAUAGCAUGAUCAGAGAAGGGAAUGUUUAAGCAAAACCUUAAAGAGGAUGAAAGAAUGAGCCAUGUAGAUAGCUGAAGGAAGAGCAUUCCAGAUGGGGGAAGCAAGUUCUCUGUAAGAUCCUAAGGCAGGACUGUGUUGAAGGAAGAGAAAUUUUGGUCUGGCUGGAAUAGAGAGAUUAAGGGGAAGAAUAUAGAAGAUGAAUUCAAAGAGAAUGGACAGAGAGCAAAUUCUGCCGGGCCUUUUAAGCCAUAGUAAGGACAUUUAAUUCUGCAUGAGAUGGAAAGACUUUGGAAAGUUUGGAGCAGAGGAAUGACAUGGUCCUAUUUACAAUAUAAAAGGGUCAUCCCCAUCAUUGUUGUGUUGUUAAUAGACUAGAAAGAGACAUGGGCAUUUUAAAAGUCUUAUUUCUAGUUGUCAAAUAAAAAAAAUUGCUGCUUUUAAAACGAAUUUUUAUCUUAACCUGUCAUUGUGUAUAUAUAUUUGGGGAGGGAGACAAGCCAGGGAGCUCAUUUAGACUCUUAGACUCUAAGAAAAUAAAUUCUCAUUCUGGAAUGAUAUUUUCAUGACAAUCUUAAGAGAUAAUGGAAAGUUAGGAAUCCACUCCUGAGGCUCUUGAACCACAUUUCAUCUUAUUAUGAUUAUAUAGACAUUUACAGAAUAUUUUCAUAUCUAUUAUCUCAUUUCAUUCUCAUAUUGGCCCUAUAGGGUAUACUAGAAAGGGAAGUAUGUAGCUUCUAUUUAAAGAAAUGAGCUCCCCAAGAUUUUAUGGCUAAUAAGUGGAAACACUCAGGCUAGGACUUAGAUUUUCUUUGGCCUGCUUUUCUAUCUAUUACUCCAACUCCUUCUCUUCAGUUCCACUCUGCUCUCACCCAGUGUGCUCUUCUUAUCCCAGAUCACUUCCUUUCAUAUGAUGUCUGAAUAAUCAUCUCCACCAUUUCCCUGCCUAUACCAGACCUCUUUCAAAAAGCCUUUCAGGUGCUUAUUUCCAAUCCUGCUUUUACAGAUCCUACAUCACCUAUAACUCAGCCUCAAGUGACAAUUUUUCCUACAAAUGUCAUUUUUGACCUUGUCUCCAAACCAUGCUCAAUUAACUCCUUCAGGAGAAGUAGCAUUAAAAACUUUUUAAGUGUAAAAUAAAAUCAGUGUGUAUAAGGACAGAUUCACAUAGAGUUUAAUGGUGACUAUACUGGGAACUGCUUCUUACAAUUAUGUUGGAAAUUAUCUGUGAAAUUCAUUUACCAUGCUUUCCCUACAGCUGACUAAUAGUUUUUCUGUGAGGACUUUUCUCUCUCUCUUUCCUUUUUUUUUUUUUCCCUGAGAAAGAUUCACGCUGAGCUAACCUCUGUGCCAAUCUUCCUCUAUUUUGUAUGUGGGUUGCCACCAUAGCAUGGCUGAUGAGUGGUGUAGUUCUGUGCUGAGGAUCCAAACUUGUGAACCUGGGCUGCCAAAACAGAGUGCAUGGAACUUAACCACUACGCUAUGGGGCCAACACCUUUUUUUCUCUUUUAAUGUCAGAAACAGUAGUCUAUGCCUCAAAUACAUGGAGCUAAAUCUUGCACAUUUUGAUUUUGAGUCAAAGUCUGUGAAUCUGAGUUCAAGUCACGGUUGCCGCUGUUCCAGAGGUAAGUGCUGCCCUCUGCAACACUGCUUUCUUGUCUUAUUGAGAAGAGUAGUCUGGUGCUUGGAAAGCACAGAGUUUCCAUAGUGGGGAACCAAAAUGAUCAUCAGUGCAGGUUAGUUUAGCUCUUCAUAAUCAUCCUAGUUUAAAAAAUUAUGAAGGAUCUAUCCUCAUCUUUAAGUUUCCUUAUCUUCUUAUUUUUGUGUCCACAAGAUGUCAACCUGCUUUAACACAACCAGCCCAAUAGAAAGGUUAUGUUUCCUUCUAGAUGAAUAGGUUUAUAUUUCACUUUAGGCAUUAUUAAUUUAGUGAACCUGCAACAGCUGCAUCAUUAGAAAUAUAUUUAUCUUAUUUAAUAUGACCUCACUGAAUAUAAGGGGUUUUUUUCUACUUGAUUAUGUUCAGUGAUUGUUAUAAAUAUUCUAUAUACACCAUUUCUAUCAAAAUUAUUUUUAAGGAAAAUUCUCCUCUUAUCAGUAAAAAAAGUUAAAAAUAUUUUGUUAAAAAAUUUAUGUGGAUUACAAUAUUUUAAAGCUAUCAUUGUGCUCUUUUCUAUGAGUUGUAUUUGAUUCUUAAAAAGGCACCUACUUUAGGGGCCACCCCGGUGGUAUAGUGGUUACAUUUGCGCCCUCCACUUCAGCAGCCCGGGGGUUUUCAGGUUUGGAUCCCAGACGUGGAUCUACACACCACUUGUCAGGUCAUUCUGUGGCGGCAUCCCAUAUACAAAGUAGAGGAAGAUUGGUGUGGAUGUUAACUCAGGAACAAUCCUCCUCAAGCAAAACGAGGAGGAUUGGCAACAGAUGUUAGCUUAGGGCCAAUCUUCCCCGUAUUUCACACACACAUACACAAAAGACACCUACUUUGGUGAUGGUGUUCUAAAGAGAAUAAGGGCAAAUUUUGAAAUAUGGGUAAAUAAUUAAUUUUGAAAUAUCUUUCCAUUGUUUUCUGUUAAUUUGAAAAUUGGGAGCUAUUUCUUAAACAGAUUAAAGUAAAAUCUCCCAUAGUGAAGUUUAAGGGAAAUUUGUGGCAUCAGUAAGAAAACUUUAGAAAAGAACCUCUUGGUGAUUUUAAUUUCCUUCUCCAUGUAUCUCAUACGUUAUAUUCCUCUUUAAUGACAUUCGUUUUAAAUAUAUAUGCAGUAUGAUGUAUUUCCAUGUGAAAUUAAUCAUCAGAGAGUGAAUAAUAGUGACUUUUCAUUGCUAAAAACAAAUGAUUAAAUAUCAAAU